rnacentral:rRNA from 1 species
UACGAAGGGGGCUAGCGUUGCUCGGAAUCACUGGGCGUAAAGGGUGCGUAGGCGGCUUCUUAAGUCAGGGGUGAAAUCCUGGAGCUCAACUCCAGAACUGCCUUUGAUACUGAGGAGCUUGAGUCCGGGAGAGGUGAGUGGAACUGCGAGUGUAGAGGUGAAAUUCGUAGAUAUUCGCAAGAACACCAGUGGCGAAGGCGGCUCACUGGCCCGGUACUGACGCUGAGGCGCGAAAGCGUGGGGAGCAAACAGG